GUAUGUCCGGUUCUAUUAUAUAAAAGUACAAGUUUAAAGCCGAGCUACUUGUCACUUCGAUAGAGCUUUGAGAUGCUUGCACUAAGUAAAGGUUUAACUCGAAAGAGACCUUUAUGUAUAUAUAUUAAUCUCACGGAAAUUUUGGCUGUAUAUUUUUAAUGUUUUAUUUAUUGUUUUUGUUUUAUAAACAAAAGUGGGGGAUUGUUGGUAAUUUGUUUAUAAAACAAAUUGAGAGGUGCCUUGUCCCACAUCGAAAAGAUGUGAGUGCGCACGUGGACGAGAUUUGGCAUUAACCAACGAUCAUUAUUUUAUUUAUUGAGAAAAUUCGGAUUUAUUUAUAUAAAAUAUUAACUACAAAAUCUUGUUGAAAUAGUGCGACUGUUCAUGAAAAGUUACAAUUAUUUUUUAUUUUUUAUUUAUUUAAUUCCGAAUUUUUAAAUCUUUUCAACGUAACCUUUGAGACGUACUUUUUCACGAAAGGUUGUCUUU
rnacentral:lncRNA from 1 species